AACGCUAGCUACAGGCUUAACACAUGCAAGUCGCGGGGCAGCAUGGGAGAUGCUUGCAUUUCCUGAUGGCGACCGGCGCACGGGUGAGUAACGCGUAUCCAACCUUCCGUACACUCAGGGAUAGCCUUUCGAAAGAAAGAUUAAUACCUGAUGGUAUGAUGGGAUUGCAUGAUAGCAUCAUUAAAGAUUUAUCGGUGUACGAUGGGGAUGCGUUCCAUUAGAUAGUAGGCGGGGUAACGGCCCACCUAGUCGACGAUGGAUAGGGGUUCUGAGAGGAAGGUCCCCCACAUUGGAACUGAGACACGGUCCAAACUCCUACGGGAGGCAGCAGUGAGGAAUAUUGGUCAAUGGGCGCGAGCCUGAACCAGCCAAGUAGCGUGAAGGAUGAAGGUCCUACGGAUUGUAAACUUCUUUUAUAAGGGAAUAAAGUCACCUACGUGUAGGUGUUUGUAUGUACCUUAUGAAUAAGCAUCGGCUAACUCCGUGCCAGCAGCCGCGGUAAUACGGAGGAUGCGAGCGUUAUCCGGAUUUAUUGGGUUUAAAGGGAGCGUAGACGGGUCGUUAAGUCAGCUGUGAAAGUUUGGGGCUCAACCUUAAAAUUGCAGUUGAUACUGGCGUCCUUGAGUACGGUUGAGGCAGGCGGAAUUCGUGGUGUAGCGGUGAAAUGCUUAGAUAUCACGAAGAACUCCGAUUG
rnacentral:rRNA from 1 species